UACGUAGGCAGCAAGCGUUGUUCGGAAUUACUGGGCGUAAAGAGUGUGUAGGCGGUGCUCUAAGUCUGUCGUGAAAUCUCCCGGCUUAACUGGGAGGGUGCGGCGGAAACUGGAGUGCUCGAGGGUGGGAGAGGAAAGCGGAAUUCCUGGUGUAGCGGUGAAAUGCGUAGAUAUCAGGAGGAACACCUGCGGUGUAGACAGCUUUCUGGACCACUUCUGACGCUGAGACACGAAAGCUAGGGGAGCAAACAGG
rnacentral:rRNA from 1 species